UACGUAGGGUGCGAGCGUUAAUCGGAAUUACUGGGCGUAAAGCGUGCGUAGGCGGUUGUGCAAGUCAGAUGUGAAAUCCCCGGGCUUAACCUGGGAACUGCAUUUGUGACUGUACGGCUGGAGUGCGGCAGAGGGGGAUGGAAUUCCGCGUGUAGCAGUGAAAUGCGUAGAUAUGCGGAGGAACACCGAUGGCGAAGGCAAUCCCCUGGGCCUGCACUGACGCUCAUGCACGAAAGCGUGGGGAGCAAACAGG
rnacentral:rRNA from 1 species